CUACGGGUUGCAGCAGUGAGGAAUAUUGGUCAAUGGGCGAAAGCCUGAACCAGCCAUGCCGCGUGAAGGAUGACGGCCCUAUGGGUUGUAAACUUCUUUUAUACGGGAAGAAACACCUCUACGUGUAGAGGUUUGACGGUACCGUACGAAUAAGCAUCGGCUAACUCCGUGCCAGCAGCCGCGGUGAAUACGGAGGAUGCAAGCGUUAUCCGGAUUUAUUGGGUUUAAAGGGUACGUAGGCGGAAACUUAAGUCAGUAGUGAAAUCCCGCAGCUUAACUGUGGAACUGUUAUUGAUACUGGGUUUCUUGAAUAUUGUUGAGGUAGGCGGAAUAAGUAAUGUAGCGGUGAAAUGCUUAGAUAUUACUUAGAACACCGAUUGCGAAGGCAGCUUACUAAGCAAUUAUUGACGCUGAGGUACGAAAGCGUGGGGAGCGAACAGGAUUAGAUACCCUUGUAGUC
rnacentral:rRNA from 1 species